GACGAACGCUGGCGGCGUGCUUAACACAUGCAAGUCGAACGGAGCACCCUUGAAAGAGACUUCGGUCAAUGGAGAGGAAUGCUUAGUGGCGGACUGGUGAGUAACGCGUGAGGAACCUGCCUUCCAGAGGGGGACAACAGUUGGAAACGACUGCUAAUACCGCAUAACGUAUUGGGGCCGCAUGACCCUGAUACCAAAGAUUUAUCGCUGGAAGAUGGCCUCGCGUCUGAUUAGCUGGUAGGUGAGGUAACGGCUCACCUAGGCGACGAUCAGUAGCCGGACUGAGAGGUUGACCGGCCACAUUGGGACUGAGAUACGGCCCAG
rnacentral:rRNA from 1 species